GCUGAGUCAGGAGAUGCUGCCAGCCACUGCCACCAUGAGAAGCAACAUGGAAAGUACGGGAACGUUCUCUCUCUGCCACAGAGAUUCUGCUGGCAAUGUGCGUUUGUGUGCGAUGUGGUAAGAAGACUUGCUGCUGUCUCCUGUGCUGCCCCGGUGUCUCCGUGGAUCUCUCAAAGCAGGGAGAGGCCUAUGAAUUGGAGAGGUGGCCUCAAGCUCACGGUCCCUGGAGAUCCAGUCACUCACUCCAGGGGACACGGAAGCAUUGUCUGGGCACAGUGUCACAGAUCAUCCUAUUUCUGAAACCACGUCAAUGACCUGUCCUUCACGGGAGACUGUUCCGUCCCCCAAUGCUCGACUCUAGACAAGCAGGUGGCCCACACAUGCAUCCUUACAACUACUAUGGCAGAAACCCUGAGCUCAGAAACAUCCCUUCAGACCUAGGUGAGCACAUGGUGUCAUCUCAAGUAAAUUGCCUGGCGUGUAUGCCUCAGUUUCCCUGCAAGUUAAAACCACGAAAGGCUGCUGUGAAAGAAACUUUCUAGCUCAAAUAUUCCAUAACCGGACCUCUGUGGAAACUUUGUCUGGAGCAGCAAGUCAGCAAUUUCAUAAAGAGAAGGGAAUCGGCCAAAGCAAACCUCCAGUGUGUGGAAAAGGAAAGAGGCAGUGGCCCCCUCCCGUUAGCCACACCACAUUCUGCUACCUCAGACGGAUGCUGCUUAGUCACCUAAAGCAUAACCUUGCCCAGCUCCAAGCUGCUGCCGGGGCUCAGGCUAGAGACUCUGUGGUUGUGAGUCACAAAGGCAGUGGGCCAGGAAUCCAAACAAAAGGCCAUCCGCCCUCCCUAGCUGGUUUACUAAGAGCCAGUUACUUCCCCAAAGAGAAAACCGUAUUUGUGGCUCAGGAAUUAUCAGGCGUUUCCCUCCAAAUCGCAGCUGAGAAGAGGAUUCCUAACCUACCCUUUGGAAAAUGGAGAUUUUCCAUUUUGGGUGUUGUUUUCUGUUGUUGGACUCAUGUCUCAUUCAUGGUCCCCAAGGUCACAGCAAAUGCUAUGUGAACAGAAUCCUGACACUGCCACAGCCUGGUGGUGUCUCAUGCCCUUAGGCCUAUUAUUCCCUUUGCUCAACUUGAAGACACAGGUUUAAAGCAAGACUCUGAAAUAUUGGCACACUUUGAUGGGCCAUGCUUUAGCCCACAAGCAUGUGCAUCUUAGCACCCUGCUGGGCUGCUGAUAGUCAUCUGAUGAAUAUUUACUGACUGCUGCAGGAGACGUCAGGGAGAGGCCAUCCCAGACCUGGUUUUAGAGUCCUGUGCCCAGGUUGCCCCACCCCACCCACCCCCGCCGCCUAACUUCAGUUUGAGAGGAAGUAUAAACUACAAUGCAUAGACUAUAAAAGGAGCAUGAAGAGGAUCAAAGGUCGGAGGGAAAUGGAAACACAAGUGGUAUCUUCCUGGGCGUGAGCACAGUGGCCUCGGGGAGAGGGAGAUGUCUGCAGAGCCGGUCACUGUCUGGAGGCCAAGAGUGGAGGUGUGAUCCUGAGAACCCACGAUGACGACAGGAAUACAGGAGAGGAGCGGGGGAGGGGGGGGGCGUACACAAGCUGUGCAGGGUCCGAAAAUGCAGCACGAUGCUGUGUAGUGGGAGCUCAUGCUUGAAGCCUGGGACACAGUGUUACCUCUAAGACAUCCCAAGGGGAGGGGUGAGGAGUGGGGAGGUUUCUUUCAGAGAAUCUGUUUCCCUUGCAGCUCCUCAGGGGCGGUGACAGGUGAGCUCUUCUUCUUUUCCUUCUUCCUUCUGUGCGUGUGCGUGUGCAUGUGGUGGGGGGCGAUGGUUGUUGUUGUUAUUGUUUUUCAAGACAAGGUUUCUAUGUAUAGUCCUGGCUGUCCUGGAAC